ensembl:snRNA U7 U7 small nuclear RNA
GAACAUUUGAUCUUUUACUAUUUCUCCAGUAGGUUUCCUCAAGGAGAAGCCCUC